rnacentral:rRNA from 1 species
UACGAAGGGGGCUAGCGUUGCUCGGAAUCACUGGGCGUAAAGGGUGCGUAGGCGGGUUUUUAAGUCAGAGGUGAAAUCCUGGAGCUCAACUCCAGAACUGCCUUUGAUACAGCAAGUCUUGAGUCCGGAAGAGGUGGGUGGAAUUCCUAGUGUAGAGGUGAAAUUCGUAGAUAUUAGGAAGAACACCGGUGGCGAAGGCGGCCCACUGGUCCGGUACUGACGCUGAGGUGCGAAAGCGUGGGGAGCAAACAGG